rnacentral:rRNA from 1 species
UACGGAGGGGGCUAGCGUUGCUCGGAAUCACUGGGCGUAAAGGGCUUGUAGGCGGUCUGAUAAGUCCUGUGUGAAAUCCCUUGGCUUAACCAAGGAACUGCGCCGGAUACUGUCGGACUAGAGGCCGGGAGAGGGAAGCGGAAUUCCCAGUGUAGCGGUGAAAUGCGUAGAUAUUGGGAGGAACACCGGUGGCGAAGGCGGCUUCCUGGACCGGUUCUGACGCUGCAGAGCGAAAGCUAGGGUAGCAAACAGG